rnacentral:rRNA from 1 species
GACGAACGCUGGCGGCGUGCUUAACACAUGCAAGUCGAACGGAAAGGCCCUGCUUUUGUGGGGUGCUCGAGUGGCGAACGGGUGAGUAAUACGUGAGUAACCUGCCCUUGACUUUGGGAUAACUUCAGGAAACUGGGGCUAAUACCGGAUAGGAGCUCCUGCUGCAUGGUGGGGGUUGGAAAGUUUCGGCGGUUGGGGAUGGACUCGCGGCUUAUCAGCUUGUUGGUGGGGUAGUGGCUUACCAAGGCUUUGACGGGUAGCCGGCCUGAGAGGGUGACCGGCCACAGUGGGACUGAGAUACGGACCAGACUCCUACGGGAGGCAGCAGUGGGGAAUAUUGCACAAUGGGCGGAAGCCUGAUGCAGCAACGCCGCGUGCGGGAUGACGGCCUUCGGGUUGUAAACCGCUUUCGCCUGUGACGAAGCGUGAGUGACGGUAAUGGGUAAAGAAGCACCGGCUAACUACGUG